CCUCCAUGUUUGUGGAAAUUUCUUGAAGCUGCCAUCUCCUUUAUCUCUUUCCUUCACCCACGUAUUCUUUUCUCUUAGUUAUUCUUCCAGCAGCAGUUCGCCCAAAUCCAUUGCCGCUCCUGCCCCCAACGGCGCAUGCCUUCAUCUCCUCAGCCAUGGAGCUCACGAGCACCUCCCUCUGCGCACCCCCUCCGCGCGUCCCUGCUCCCUCGUCACCAGGUGCACGUGCGCAGCUUCCUGCGCGCCGGGAUGGCCCUCUAGCCCCAGCUCGCCCCUGCCCUCAGCCAUGGCGCCUGGCCGCCGCCGCCCCUGCUUUCCAUGGCAGCACUUCCUGCUUCCUGGUGGUCGGCGCCCUCCCCAACAUCUCUGCUGGUGGUUGUCUCCAUCCCCUCCAUGGCGAGCUCGCCCCUGCAUUCCUGCUCGCCCAAGAUCCCCUUCCCUGUUCCAGCCACCUCCUAUGGACGCCAGCCCUCACCUCAUAGUCGCCCAGCCCCCUCUCUGCUGGUGGCCGGCCACCUCUGCUGCUUCCAUGGUGUGGCACUUAGGGUAUUUAAGAUAGAGUGGAAUAUUUCAGCACAUCACACACCAGGUGUUCGGUGAAAGGUCCAAGCCAAAAGUCGUCGUCGUUUCAGAAUAUAUCGAGUCAAUUCGACUUUGUGCCGCUGGACCACAUACAAUUGUUGAUGGUAAAGAAGUUGUGAACUUUGCAUCAGCAAACUACCUCGGUUUAAUUGGCAACGAAAAGAUUAUUGAAUCUUGCAUCAGUUCAUUGGAGAAAUUGGUGUUGGUUCUUGUGGUCCACGUGGUUUUUAUGGAACAAUUGAUGUCCAUCUUGAUUGUGAGUCAAAGAUAGCUAAAUUUUUGGGGACCCCAGACUCCAUUCUUUAUUCAUAUGGGAUUUCUACAAUAUUCAGUGUGAUACCUGCCUUCUAUAAGAAAGGAGAUAUCAUAGUCACUGAUGAGGGUGUUCACUGGGCAGUGCAAAAUGGUCUCCAUCUAUCAAGAAGCAUUGUGGUGUACUUCAAGCACAAUGAUAUGGCUUCACUUGCAAGCACUUUGGAAAAACUUACUCGUGGAAAUAAACGUGCUGAAAAGAUUAGACGCUACAUUGUUGUAGAAUCCAUUUACCAGGCGCAGUGCUUUUGAUUGUUUUGUGUUGAUUUAUGCUGUCUUUUUUUAUAUGACCUUAUGAAAGUUUGGAAAAUAAAAUGUCCAUUUAACAUGUGCAACCUAGACAAUUCAUGAAACCUCUUACAGUCGUCAUGGUUUGUGAACACAGAAUUCUGGCCAAAUUGCCCCCUUGGAUGAGAUUGUCAGGUUGAAGGAGAAAUAUUGAUUCCAUGUUAUUCUGGAGGAGAGUCAUUUUUUUGGGGUGCUUGGCAAGUCUGGGUGUGGUCUUGCUGAACAUUAUGGAGUUCAUCUCCCAAACGAGGCCUAACUGUUUGGUGAAAUGCUUGGGACAAACUAGCCAGUAAGAAUGGAGUCAUGGAACAUCGGCAGGAGGGUUGUGGCAGCGGCAACCGAUGUAUCCUAUGGACAGUCUGGUUUUGACAUGAUGCAAAUCAAUCUGCUGUACACUGUAUUUCGCACUUGCAUAGAUUGUUUGGCUAAUUGCAAGAUUAUCUCA